GGAAUGCAAAGGGAGACAGGAUGUUUCCAUGACUCAAGGGACUGAGUUAUAGCAGGAAGUUAGGCAAGCUUGGUU